UAACCUCUGGCGAUCAUCGUGAAUGUUG
rfam:Gramella forsetii KT0803 complete circular genome.